CACUCAUCGUGGCCAAGGAAGGUGAGUCCAGAGCAGACACUGCAAGGACCCGUAGCCCCCAUGCAGGGCAGGCUGGGGGCUAUGCACUCAGCUCAGGGCUCAGAUGGGCAAGUUUGUCUUUACCCUGAAAUAAAAUAGUUUUCUGUAGUAUACUGUUAACUAUAAUUUAGAUUAUUAAAUAGUAUUAGCUUUGUAGCUAAACACUAGGCAUGACCUGUGGCCUAGUAAUGUUGCUGACCACAAGACAGAAUGAUCUCUAAGCCAGCCAUUUUCUUAUGUCAAGUGCCUUAACCAUUUUGUUAGAAAAAGCAGAAAUUAAGUCUGUGUACUGGGUACCAGCUGCAGCUAGGAGUGAGAUAAGAUAAGGGGGGCCCAGAGGGAAGAAGAUGGUACAGCAGAGCACAGGGAAACAGAUUGGAAUGUGUAAGAUAACACUAACUUUUUCCUCUGGAAAAGUACUGAGAUUUGUAAUGCACCAUGUAAGGAGAUGAUUACCAUAAGUAUUGCAUAUUCAAUAACCUUGUAGUUUCUUUGUUAGAAAAUGUAUAUAAGACUGCCUCACCCGUAAGUCGCGGCCAUUUUACCUCUUUGCUGUUUUAUGGUCUUUACUCGAGUAAAUAAACUGCAGUUACCCCUUCACCCGUGUUGUCUGGUCUCUAAGCCUGCUAAACAACAAACACCAGGAAGUUUUCUCCCACAACAAUUUGGCGACCCAGGUGGGACUCCUCUAGCUUGGAGCCUUUGGAGACCUCCACCCCCUGACACCCCAGCGCGCACCAGGUGAGUUCACCUAUUUGGGUCAGUCUCGGGAGGUGGACGGUCCCCUCGGGACCAAUAAGGCAGGAUCCUUAAAUCGGGUAAAGGAACGGUGCUGGUGAGUACCUCAGUUUCAGUUAAAAUCUCUCCAUAGAUAUGCUGUUUUAAGCCAACUCUUACCUGCCGAUGUUCCAGCACAUCACGUCCAGCCUAAAAACUGGGUGUAUAUAAAAACUUGAAAACAGUCUCCUCUUGAACCAAGGUGGAAAAAAACCUUAUCAAAUCCUCCUCACUUCCCACACCACCGUAAAGGUAACAGGAAAAAACAACUGAAUUCAUUAUACUCGUACAAAGAAAACAAAAGUUUCACCAGAGCUCAGGAUCAGCUCCAAUGCAAGCUUCCCCGACCUGGAAAAGGGGAAGCCAGAAGAAAACAACUGCGAACUUCGCGGGAGCACCGCUUGUCUACCUGACCGCAACAAGGGUAGACCAGAAGCAGAUGAAACAUCAAAUGGUUCUUGGAUUAGUAGUCCACUUUCAGGCAAAAAACUCAAACUGACCAAAGUUUGCCGAUGAACUAUCACCUUUUUGGAAUACUGCCAAACCCAAAGAGAAAAAAACGAGUUUUAAGUGCAGUGUCCUUUAGACACCUUCAAAACCAAACACUUCAAAACUGUUACCUGUCCUAAAAAAAAAACUGUCAUGGAAAAAAACAUGCUGUAGAAUCUGGAAUCAGGUCAGGUAGAAACUUUAUUUCAAUAAGCUAAAGGGAGAAACAGUUAAAGAGAAAAUUUCCCCUGGCUCUCUGCCUUACAGCAAAAGGCAAUUAAUCUUUUGUAGAUUCAAGACAAAGGGUUUCCCAAACUAGCUUUUCCUGCCUUAGGGCUAUCUGUUUUGUGUCUUCAAGACAACUUUACAGCCGUCUUCCUCUUAUCUAAAGCAUCUCUCUCUGAAGCCUCGUCUAUCCUUUGCUUCUACACAGUAAUCACCAGAGCUGCAGGGUUGUUUAUACUGUUUAUGCUGAUUUCUGUUAUAAUAUGGCUUUUAUAACUAUGUUAUUUCUAAUCUUUCUGUUUGCUGGAAAAAUAAGUCUUUUACAGGGUCAACUAUAGCUACCAGUUGUUGCAAAUGUGCUAAUCCUGGCACCCGCAGUUUUCCUGUCUGGAUAAGCAAUUCAAUCAAACUCUCUGAAAUAGAUGGAAAAGUCAACAUUGCCCGCUGGUAUCCUCCCUCACAUUGCUGUAGUUCAGCAGAAAACCAUAAUAACUGCUGGGCAUGUAACCAUCUCCCUCUCCAUGCUCAAGGAGGAAUUCCUAUGAUUCCUACCCCUAGGGAACAGUAGAAUAACUUCUGAAUCCAUCUAGUGACCCAAAUCUCCCUAACAAAACUUGGGAACCAAAUAAACAAGAGUACUACUUAGUUGUACCAGUAGUUGGAGAGUGGUGCUUCCACGUAAACUGUUCUGGAAGUUCUUGUUUAAACUUAGGUACUAGUACAUGUCGUCAUUAUUAUACUGAUUUUACUAGAGAAGAUUGGCGUAAUAAUCAUACACAAACUCCUACCUUUUACAGCUCUUACAAUAACUUUUAAAGCAAGGAAGACUUAACCAAUGGCGUUAAUCCUGAAUACAAACCUAUCUCCAAUUUAAAGAAUGCCCUGUGGUAUUGUACAUAUCAUGAUACCUCCCGGGAACAGUGCUUUUUCAAUGGAACUGCAAAUCCUUCCUUUAAAUCAAAAGGUGGACGAGGAGUGCUAGGAUUAGGAAAUGGUGGCCGUCUACCCCACAAGUAUUCAGGCCUCACUGCAUUAGGGGGGCAAUAUUGGGUCUGUGGCUCUUACGCCUACUAUAAAAUCCCUGCCAAAGGAAAAGGUAUCUGCUAUCCGGCACUGCUAAGACCCUCUACGUCCUUCGCCACGCACCUUCCACGGGGCAGGUGGCGAAACAAGAGGGAUUUGUCGAAAAGCUGAGAUAUGCUAGAAGAUAAUUUAAAAAAAACCCACUUACUACAGGAAAACUUAUUGGGUACUCCCUAGGCGCUAUACUCCCUGGAGUGGGUACUUCCUGUCUUGGACGAUACACCUUGCGCCUCCAAGCUGUAAUUAAAAUAAUGGCCCACGAAUACAGGGUAGGCCACCAAGUUCUUUCAAAAGCUGUCACAGCUUUAGCUAACACUCAAAAAGAACUCCAACAAAUGGUAAUUCAGAAUCGCAUAGCUCUUGAUUUCCUCCUCGCUGCGCAGGGAGGUGCUUGCGCAGUCAUCGGACCAGAAUGUUGUGUAUGGGUUAACAGCUCUUUUACCAUAGUUCAAAACCACCUCAAUGAUGCAGCUGUACAUAUCCAAAAUGCCGAAAAUGUAGCUAAAAUCCCCAAAGAUACAUCUCUUAACUGGUUUACUGGUUGGUUCCCUUCCCUUACGGGAUGGCUUAGGCCUUUUGUGCUAAGUCUAAUUGAAACAGUUAUAACUAUAAUCUGCCUGUUAUGCUGUUUUCAGUGUUUGUGUUCUUUGGGGCAACAGAUGAUGCAAAGACAAGUAAAAAUGUAUGGUCAGUUCAUACAAAUACCCAGCAACAAUCAUCAAGGCCUAACUCCACAAGAGCAUGAAUACUUAAAAGUGUGUUCCAAAACUUUUGAAAGUUUGGAACAAAGGGGGGAUUGUGAUGGGCAAGUUUGUCUUUACCCUGAAAUAAAAUAGUUUUCUGUAGUAUACUGUUAACUAUAAUUUAGAUUAUUAAAUAGUAUUAGCUUUGUAGCUAAACACUAGGCAUGACCUGUGGCCUAGUAAUGUUGCUGACCACAAGACAGAAUGAUCUCUAAGCCAGCCAUUUUCUUAUGUCAAGUGCCUUAACCAUUUUGUUAGAAAAAGCAGAAAUUAAGUCUGUGUACUGGGUACCAGCUGCAGCUAGGAGUGAGAUAAGAUAAGGGGGGCCCAGAGGGAAGAAGAUGGUACAGCAGAGCACAGGGAAACAGAUUGGAAUGUGUAAGAUAACACUAACUUUUUCCUCUGGAAAAGUACUGAGAUUUGUAAUGCACCAUGUAAGGAGAUGAUUACCAUAAGUAUUGCAUAUUCAAUAACCUUGUAGUUUCUUUGUUAGAAAAUGUAUAUAAGACUGCCUCACCCUUAAGUCGCGGCCAUUUUACCUCUUUGCUGUUUUAUGGUCUUUACUCGAGUAAAUAAACUGCAGUUACCCCUUCA